GCGGAUAUGGUGAAAUUGGUAGACACGCCAGACUUAGGAUCUGGUACCGCAAGGUAUGGAAGUUCGAGUCUUCUUAUCCGCACCA
rnacentral:tRNA from 1 species